rnacentral:rRNA from 1 species
GACGAACGCUGGCGGCGUGCCUAACAAAUGCAAGUCGAGCGAAUGAAGUUCCUUCGGGAAUGGAUUUAGCGGCGGACGGGUGAGUAACACGUGGGCAACCUGCCUCAUAGAGGGGAAUAGCCUCCCGAAAGGGAGAUUAAUACCGCAUAAGAUUGUAGUACCGCAUGAUACAGCAAUUAAAGGAGCAAUCCGCUAUGAGAUGGGCCCGCGGCGCAUUAGCUAGUUGGUGAGGUAAUGGCUCACCAAGGCGACGAUGCGUAGCCGACCUGAGAGGGUGAUCGGCCACAUUGGGACUGAGACACGGCCCAGACUCCUACGGGAGGCAGCAGUGGGGAAUAUUGCACAAUGGGGGAAACCCUGAUGCAGCAACGCCGCGUGAGUGAUGACGGCCUUCGGGUUGUAAAGCUCUGUCUUCAGGGACGAUAAUGACGGUACCUGAGGAGGAAGCCACGGCUAACUACGUG